UUGAUCGCUGAAUUCUACAGUCAGAAACGGGGGAACCGGAGGGAUGCGCAUAUACUGCCUCCCAGGGGUGAAUCGCUUGAUCUGAAUCAGAUACGUCAAGUGUAGGGCUACUUUCAGGCCCGAAUCCGUCAGCUAACCUCGUAAGCGUUACGAAAGAGGA
rnacentral:sRNA from 1 species